GCCGGGAUGGUGGAAUAGGUAGACGCAGCGGACUCAAAAUCCGCCGGGUUCACGCCCUUGCGAGUUCAAGUCUCGCUCCCGGUACCA
rnacentral:tRNA from 1 species